rnacentral:rRNA from 1 species
UACGUAGGGGGCAAGCGUUGUCCGGAUUUAUUGGGUUUAAAGGGUGCGUAGGCGGCAUUUUAAGUCAGUGGUGAAAUACUUCAGCUUAACUGGAGAGGUGCCAUUGAUACUGGGAUGCUUGAGUACUGAUGAGGUAGGCGGAAUGGACGGUGUAGCGGUGAAAUGCUUAGAUAUCGUCCAGAACACCGAUAGCGAAGGCAGCUUACUAAGGAGUAACUGACGCUGAGGCACGAAAGUGUGGGGAUCAAACAGG